rfam:Triticum aestivum genome assembly, contig: Triticum_aestivum_CS42_TGACv1_scaffold_591846_7BS
UAUCUACUCCCUCCGUCCCAAAAUUUUUGUCUUAGAUUUGUCCAGAUGCGGAUGUAUCUAAUACUAAAAUGUGACUUGAUUCGUCUGUAUUUAGGCAAAUCUAAGACAAGAAUUUUGAGACAGAGGGAGUAUUUC